GAUGAACGCUGGCGGCGUGCCUAAUACAUGCAAGUCGAGCGAACGGACGAGAAGCUUGCUUCUCUGAUGUUAGCGGCGGACGGGUGAGUAACACGUGGAUAACCUACCUAUAAGACUGGGAUAACUUCGGGAAACCGGAGCUAAUACCGGAUGAUAUUUUGAACCGCAUGGUUCAAAAGUGAAAGGCGGUCUUGCUGUCACUUAUAGAUGGAUCCGCGCUGCAUUAGCUAGUUGGUAAGGUAACGGCUUACCAAGGCAACGAUGCAUAGCCGACCUGAGAGGGUGAUCGGCCACACUGGAACUGAGACACGGUCCAGACUCCUACGGGAGGCAGCAGUAGGGAAUCUUCCGCAAUGGGCGAAAGCCUGACGGAGCAACGCCGCGUGAGUGAUGAAGGUCCUCGGAUCGUAAAACUCUGUUAUUAGGGAAGAACAUAUGUGUAAGUAACUGUGCACAUCUUGACGGUACCUAAUCAGAAAGCCACGGCUAACUACGUG
rnacentral:rRNA from 1 species